AUUAUCUAGAUUUUAUCAUUCUUUCUGCAUAAAAUUCUGAAGAAUUUUUUUUAAUUAAAAUUUGAUUUUAAAGAAAAAGGUUAUUUUUUCAGUUUAGUUGUAUUUAUUAAAGUUUGGGUUUUUCUGAUUAUUCCGUCUAGGGCGAGCUAUGAAAAUUCAGAUAACAAGUUCUGCUCCUCCAACAAGCACAAUGGUAAACAACUCAUUUUCUAACAAAUUUGGAAAAAGAGGAGGAAAUACUGGAAACAGAUUUCCUGGACGUGGUCGAGGUGGUAAUAGAGGAAGAGGGAGAGGCAGGGGUGGUUUCUCUAGAAGUUAAAAGUUGUACUAAAAAUUCAAAAGGUGAU